UUUCCGUAGGUGAACCUGCGGAAGGAUCAUUACUGAGUUGUUGGCAUGAGCUGUUGCUGGUCCCCAAACCUGGGGGCAUGUGCACGCUCUGUUCACACAUCCACUCACACCUGUGCACCCUCUGUGGUUCUACGGUCUGGGGGACACACCGUCUUCCGCUCUGUGGUUCUGCAUCUUUACACACACACACCUUAGUGAAGUCUUAUGGAAUGUGCAUCGCGUUUAACGCAAUACAAUACAACUUUCAGCAACGGAUCUCUUGGCUCUC
rnacentral:misc_RNA from 1 species